GCCUCAGUAACGGCGAGUGAAGCGGCAAAAGCUCAAAUUUGAAAUCCCCCGGGAAUUGUAAUUUGAAGAGAUUUGGGUCCGGCCGGCAGGGGUUAAGUCCACUGGAAAGUGGCGCCACAGAGGGUGACAGCCCCGUGAACCCCNUNAAAGCCNUCAUCCCAGAUCUCCAAGAGUCGAGUUGUUUGGGAAUGCAGCUCUAAGUGGGUGGUAAAUUCCAUCUAAAGCUAAAUACCGGCGAGAGACCGAUAGCGAACAAGUACAGUGAUGGAAAGAUGAAAAGCACUUUGAAAAGAGAGUGAAAAAGUACGUGAAAUUGUUGAAAGGGAAGGGCUUGCAAGCAGACACUUAACUGGGCCAGCAUCGGGGCGGCGGGNANCAAAACCACCGGGGAAUGUACCUUUCGAGGAUUAUAACCCGG
rnacentral:rRNA from 1 species